UGUGUGUUGGGGGAUGAAAAUAAGGAGUGAUCCAUCGGCUCAGUGUCUUAGCACAAUGUCGAAACUCAAAUUGCUGACAACACACA